GAGAGCGAGCGAGCGAGCGAGCGAGAGACGGCGAGGAGGAGAGGAGAGGGGGGAGCCCCAUUGGCGGGGAGGCUGCUCGCCCCGGCCCAGCCCCGACGACGCGGCGGGUCCCCGGAGCGCCCCCUCCUCCGCGCCGCCUCGCCGUGCGCCUUGCAAAUGCGUCUACUUAACAAGAGUGACAUGUCAACUUGACUCUCACUGACUGUUCCAUCAUCAGUCAAGGAUUAAAGAAUGUGAUCAGGAGCACCAUGGAGGGUGCAGAUUACCAAUUGCCUUCUGCCAACUCAGCCAGUGUUGCCCUUCCUUCUCCUUCCUCGUCUUCCAGUGAUGAAGCUGACAUUAUGGCUUUCAAUGGGGAGCUGGACUUACAACAUUACUCUAAUGGGCCAGGGGGGGCAGGAGGGGAGGAUCGCCCUUAUCCAUGUCCUAUCUGUGGCAAGCGUUUCCGCUUCAACAGCAUUCUGGCAUUGCACACCCGUAUCCACACCAGCUCCUAUCCACUCACUUGUCCCUACUGUGGCCACCAGGCAGGGCAGCGUGCCAGUUUACGUCUCCAUUUGCGCUCCCAUUGUCCUGAGGCCCAAACCCGGCUCAGUCACCAGAGCCGCCUACUGCUUGAAUUGGAAGAGCGGGCACUUCUGCGGGGUCAAGAAGAGGAAAAGGAAGAGGAGGAGGAGGAGGAAGAAGAAAUGGCUGCUCCUAUUCUUCCCCAACCUCUACCCACAUUCCGCUGCUCUUUCUGCAAGGGCAAGUUUCGCACUGCAGGGGAACGCGAGCGCCACCUUCGCAUCCUCCAUCAGCCGUACAAGUGUGGGCAAUGUUCUUUUGCUGCCACACAGGAGUCAGAACUUCAGUGGCACAACCAACAGGCUCAUAACACACCAGCAGCUUGGACACCCACCCCUCCUGCCCCUGUGCCCACCACUACAGCUCCACCCACCCCUCCUGCUUCCACACCCACCCCUUCUUCCUCUGCCUCCACCCCUACGGAGUUCCGCUGCCAGGUCUGUGGUCAAGCCUUCACCCAGUCCUGGUUCCUUAAGGGUCACAUGCGGAAGCACAAAGACUCCUUUGACCAUAAGUGCCAGGUGUGUGGGCGUGGCUUCAAGGAACCAUGGUUCCUGAAAAACCACAUGAAGGUUCAUCUCAGUAAGCUGGGCCUCCAGAGUGAACAAAGAGGACCAGGACCGGGACGGUCAGCACAGAGUUUACUCGUGGGUUGUGAGGCCCUGUAUCCAUCUCUCCUCUCUCCUCGGCCAACAGAUAAAGCCAGUACAGGCACUUUCCUGGGUUAUAGUGAUGCAAGCUGUGCUGAACGACUGCAGGCCACAGCUCGCGCCGUGGAGAGUAGUCAGCAGUGGCGGGAACGUUCUUAUGUAGUAGGGUCCAAGCUUGUGAGAGAAGAUUCGGGAGGGAACCAUCGCUGCCCAGACUGUAACCGGACAUUUGGUACAUUCCAGCAGAUGGCCUUGCACCGGCAAAGCCACCUCUCCCGUGAGAGAGAAUGGAACAAGGGACAAUCACUGGGUUCUCACCUUCUCAGUGGACACUGGCUUCCAACAAAUGUGAGAGCUUCUACUGCAGCCAACAUCAGCUCAGCUCUGCUGACCCAGAAGGAAAAAGAAAUACAGAGUCAGUCACGCUUGGAUGGAUCCCGACGAGGCACCGGGAAAGAUUGUCCAUUCUGUGGAAAGUCCUUCAGAUCUUCCCACCAUCUCAAAGUUCACCUCCGUGUCCACACAGGUGAGCGCCCAUACAAGUGCCCUCACUGUGACUAUGCUGGCACUCAGUCUGGCUCGCUCAAAUAUCACCUGCAGCGCCACCACCGGGAGCAAAAGAAUGCUGCUGCAGCUGCUGCAGCAGCUGUAGCAACAAUGGAGCAGUGCCACAUGCCCCUGGCCCCUACUGCAGUCCCUGCCUUUCCCCCUACGCCACUCACCAAGAGUCAUGGGUCCUUCCUUCCUCUAGGUGGCAUGGGGGCAGCUCGGUCCCGCCAAUCCCGUCGCAAGUCACUGCUAAACGGGAAGGCUGAUUUCCAGCCAUUGGAUCUUUCUCUACGUCCAGCCCUGGCAGGAGGAGCCCUCCACCGUUGCCAGUUUUGCCCCUUUGCCACCUCAGCUCCUGAGCUUAUGGAGUUACACCUUCAAGUCCAUCACAGCAGGAAAGCUCGUACCCGCCGCUGCUCUCACACAGCUCCUAAAGCCCAGGUGAUGUUGGAGGAAGAAAUGGUUGAGCUGAAAGAACCAGAAUCCCCAAGCCCAAAGGGGGAGAUUUCCAAGACCCAGAGUUUCUGGUCCUCUGAAGAUCAGGAAGACUCUCGCCGUCUCAAGGUGCCUCAGGGGAAACCGAGUUCUGAGGGAGCAAUAAUUGGCAGCCUUUCUUCUGAAGCUGCACUGAAUCAGCAAGAAUGGGAGAAACUAUCACAAGACUCCGAGGAGCCAAAGCCAGAGAAGGAAUUGUCUGGUGCACUGUCCCCAAAAGCACCACGUCAGGAGGCUUCAGAGACAGGCCAAGAUCUCAUGGAAUUACAGUUGGAGCCGCAGCAAGACAAACAUAGCAAGAUACAGGGAUUACCUGCCAAGCAGCUAAAUAACAGCACAAGAGCUCCAGGAGGGAAAAAAAAGACAAAACUACAACAUAACCAAGUACUGACCCUGGAAGGCAAAAGCUGUAGCUGCAGUGGAGCACUGGUUAAAGGCCAGAGAAAACAUGGCAAGGAGAUUCAAUUCAUGCCUUGAGUUGAUGGGGGAAAUUGCAGUUCAUCUGAAUGGGAUUAUAAUCCUCUGCUUGAUCAAGAAAGCUGUUUGCUGGGGGCUCCCAGUUGCAAAAACAAAAUAUCCCAAUGGACACCCUGCAGAAACUCCCCGUCAACAUGAAGAAGACGUGUUUAAAGGAUAUGCUGCUGGUACUGGUUUCCCUGUCUCCUCUCCAUGCACUGGAUAUUUGAAAGGGCUGCUGUAGCAGUUCUAUUUAGUCAAACAGGGUUUGGAGGUGAAAUUAGGAUACUUCACGUGGCCGGAGGAGAACUCGGGAGCCAAGAUCCCGGGAGAAUUAGGUAAGCCUAGGGAAAUGUUUUUUGGCUGGAUCCUGAUAUAUCUUAGCUUGCAUUUUGGAUUUUGUGGUGGGAACGACAGAAUUUCUGCAGGAUAAAGAUGAAACAACUACUCGGAUCCAGCGCGCAAGAGGUUCUUAGAUUUGAGCGUGGGAUUAUUCUUAGUCUCCAAAAUUGCCGCGCCGCUACCAGUCUUGGGCUGGCAAGCGCCGGAAAAGGCAGGGGCACAUUUAAGGAGGCGGAGGGGUCCUUAUUACUUCUUUUCCGCUUCUGAUCCAAUACAGCCUACAGUAUCGAGUUUUAGAAUGAACCAGAGACCAAAAGAACUUAGCACAAAUUAGUCCAAAAAUAGUUGGCGGGCGUUUUCUCGAACUUACAUGUAAAGGUUUAAUACAUGUAAAGGUGGCUUAUCCAUAAUUAUUAAAUAUUUUAUAGCAACUUCCCAGUCGCACCAAGGCUGCUGACAAGAAACAUUCUUAAGGUGGAACUGAAAAUGCAAAACGACGAAGAACAAAAUGCAAAACCUCAGCACAAGAUUUCGCAAAUAGUAGUAACACGUGUAAAUUAUAAACGAACAUCCAUUACUUUUAAAAGAUUGAUAUGAUUAUAAUGGCAGGUAGUUACAAAGGAUAAAACUAACUUUAGAAUAAUUAGAAAUAUGUUUGGCUUGCUUUUGUUGAAGACCUUUGGGUUCUAUCUCUUAAGUAUGGUGUGCCUUUAACUUUAUUUAAAACUUAUUUUAACAGUGUCUUGAUAAAAGACUAUUUUCUUGUGUUUACAUUAAUGAAGCAUCUCUUCCCCCGCAGAUUAUUCUAGAAGCUUAUAUAAUUAUUUCUCAAAUAAUAUUAAGGUAAAACUAGGGAGAUACUUCUGUUCCCAACUCAUAUUUUUCCCCUAUUUGUAGAAAAGGAUAGUAGAUAAUAAAUAUUUACACAUUUAAAUAUUUAUUCAAACAUUUAAAUUCAAACAUUUCAAAUUUAAGAAUGGUUUAUAUUAUGGUAUCAGCAAGGCAGCAAAACAAAUGUUAAAAGAUACAUUAUGUUAUUCAUCUGCUAAGGACUUCUGUCUUGCAAAGUUGACCCACUUUGGUUCACUCUCUAGAAAAGGAAUCACAUCAAGUCAGUGUUGGGUUUUCUCCAUGAUGAUCUAUGAUCUAUCCCUUACUUGAUUCUUCAGGUCUUCCAAUAUGGCAUCCAUUUCUGCUGUAACUUAGUCCAUCCACUUAGCUGUUGGAUCAUUCUUUUUCCUUCUACUUUUCCUACCAUUAGACCCUUCUCCAGAUAGCUAGCUCUUCACUUAGUCUAUCCAAAGUCUGAUGAUCUGAGACUGGUUAUUCAUGCUCCAAGUAAGAAUUUUGGAUUGAUUUGUUUGAUACAUUUGUUGAGGUUUUUUUUUUCUGUCCACAGUACUCUGAGGAGUUUUCUCCAACAAAGUGUUCAUUCUCCAAUUUGUCCCAAAGGAGCUUUUUCAAGAGACAAUUGGAUUUCCUUUGUUUUUUCUUGAAUACUUUCGC